GGGGAAUAUUGCACAAUGGAGGAAACUCUGAUGCAGCGACGCCGCGUGAGUGAAGAAGGUCUUCGGAUCGUAAAACUCUGUCCUUGGUGAAGAAAAUGACGGUAGCCAAGGAGGAAGCCCCGGCUAACUACGUGCCAGCAGCCGCGGUAAUACGUAGGGGGCGAGCGUUGUCCGGAUUUACUGGGCGUAAAGGGUGAGUAGGCGGUUGUAUAUGUCAGGUGUAAAAGGCUAUGGCUUAACCAUGGUUAGCACUUGAAACUGUACAACUUGAGUGCAGGAGAGGUAAGCGGAAUUCCUAGUGUAGCGGUGAAAUGCGUAGAUAUUAGGAGGAACACCAGUGGCGAAGGCGGCUUACUGGACUGUAACUGACGCUGAGUCACGAAAGCGUGGGUAGCAAAC
rnacentral:rRNA from 1 species